AAUUCUCAACCCUUAAACUGUUUUGAGGGUACUACUAGUGAUGCUCUUAUAGACAAAUUGAAUACAAUUCAAGUGGUUGAGGCCUUGAGGGGCUUUCCCCUCCUCCCCCGAUGAAAAUUCAAAAAGAAAAUGUAUGUAAUGAAAGGGGAUCAACCGUAGUGGAGGCGCCGGAACCAAAGCUGCCGACGGUGGGAUAUAUCAUCGAGAGUCCAAUCCAUGUGAGAACUUGACUAGUCUUAAAAGAUGGUAGAUAGCCUACAGGAAGAGAGUAACAAACACAUCUGUGGUUGUGAGGAAGAUUCCGUUAGGCGAGGCAACGGACACAUUUGUGGUUGUGAGGAAGAUUCCGUUAGGCAAGACGAUCAGCCAUCCAAAUUCUUUUCCAGAUCACAAGCCACAUGAAAAACUUACAUUACAUCGAAGGCCUCUCCGUCAUCGUGGGUGGCUGGUGAGCAAUCCAGGGUUGAGGUAAGGUAACUGAGGACUAGCUCCUCCGGUGAGAGGGGUUUGAUUUCGACUAGCAAUCGAACUUGUGCACCGCUUUUCAUCAGAGUUCUAAUGCAUCCAUGAGGAGAUAAGCUCUGUUAGUAGGUACUACGUAGUAUGUACUCCCUGCACAGUUAGUACAAAGUUGAGUCACUUAUUUCGGAACGGAGGGAGUAUACCAUAACUUGUUUGAAUUC
rnacentral:lncRNA from 1 species